rnacentral:rRNA from 1 species
UACGUAGGGCGCGAGCGUUGUCCGGAAUUAUUGGGCGUAAAGAGCUCGUAGGCGGCCUGUUGCGUCUGCUGUGAAAUCCCGGGGCUCAACCCCGGGCGUGCAGUGGAUACGGGCGGGCUAGAGGCAGGCAGGGGAGAACGGAAUUCCCGGUGUAGCGGUGAAAUGCGCAGAUAUCGGGAGGAACACCGGUGGCGAAGGCGACUUCCUGGACCAAUACUGACGCUCAGGUGCGAAAGCGAUGGGGAGCAAACAGGGGAUUAAGAAACCCGUUGUACGUC